UAAGGAAUAUUGCACAAUGGGGGAAACCCUGAUGCAGCAACGCCGCGUGAGUGACGAAGGCCUUCGGGUUGUAAAACUCUUAUCUGAGGGAUGAGGAAGGACAGUACCUUAGGAAUAAGUCUCGGCUAACUACGUGCCAGCAGCCGCGGUAAAACGUAGGAGGCGAGCGUUAUCCGGAUUUACUGGGCGUAAAGGGCAAGUAGGCGGUGGUUCAAGUUGGGCGUGACAGAUCCUGGCUUAACUGGGAGAGGUCGUUCAAAACUGGAUCACUAGAGGGCAGGAGAGGGGAGCGGAAUUCCUAGUGUAGCGGUGGAAUGCUCAGAUAUUAGGAAGAACACCAGUGGCGAAAGCGGCUUUCUGGCCUGCACCUGACGCUGAAGGGCGAAAGCUAGGGGAG
rnacentral:rRNA from 1 species